AGUGGGCGCAGGACUUGUUUGUAGGUAAAUGUUGGUAUUGUGUUUGUGUGUGUGUGUUUGUUAGGGAUGGGCAUUUUAAAAUAUUAUACUUUUCCGACAGGAAUUUUUUCUGAUAUCUGCAUAGUCGACAUUCAAAAAACGUAUAAAAAAAAACUAACUUGACCAAUCAGAAUGUCACAAAUGCCAAAGGCAGAGGUAGGCUACCACAAUGGACAGGCUGUAAUUCUCCGGUAGUUUUUGGCUAACAGCAAAGGUGAAAGAGAAGUCUGAUUUUCGCCAUGAUUGAUGGAUUCGGUUUCAAAAUACUUUUCUCAACCAAUGGGCGUGCCGAAGUCUUUUCACCUCUCAGCUAGCGGAUGCUAAGGAGGGAGCAGCUGCAAACCAAAAGACUGCAGCCAAGGCAGCACUGGUCCACACCCGCCCAUCGGACUCAAAGACAUUCAAGCAGCACUUUGAGAGCAAGCAUCCCAAGUCUCCAAAUGGUCCCAGUACUGGUUGAUGUGAAGGCCUAAGUGACCACACACUCAAAUGGACCAACAGUUGAGCCACUUUCCCUAUGCUGCUUCCUUCACUUGUUCUUCUCCUGAUUUCAUAGCAUCUAGACUCAGAAACACAUUCAUGUGUUGUGGUCUACUGUUUUUUCCUCCUGUGUAAUACUGUCCUCCUCCUGCUUGCUCAGGGGUUCAGACUAAACGCUGUGGUAAAUGUGCUGCUCACAAUUGACAGCAGCAACAUGGACCUGUUAAAUUGACACGAAGGGUGUUGGUAUAGCUGUGUUUAGGCAUGGCUUCCUUGUUUUGAGUCUGUUAAAGUGGGUUUCUCAUUCUGCUGGAGUUGACCUAGUAUUUUAUAUAAAACCUACCUUACACACCCAGUUUUUCCAUUGUUAUCUCACCCACCAAAAUUACAAUAUGCUGUUUUAUAUUUUGUUUAAUUUCUGCUGGGCUAAUUCCGAAAAUGGAAAAGCAGAAGAUUCUGUGCGCUUUCGUGUAUAGUAACAAUAGUUCAUAUGGUGCUAUUUGAUAUUCCAGAUUUGUGGCAUUGAUGAAUAAAUCAUUUAAAUCUUUACUGCAAAGUCAGAUGUUAUAUGUAUGCAUUGUUUCCUAUUUUGAUUUAUUUAAAACAAUGUAAUUGUUGGAGUUCUGGUGUUUUACGUGAUUGAUGUGUGACUAGGUGCAUUCUUGUCAAAUAAAUAUGCUUAUUCAUUAAUGAUAAUGAAUACAUUCUGCAAUGAGUUAAUCUGGCUUUGAAUCUGCAACAGA